rnacentral:rRNA from 1 species
UACGUAGGGUGCAAGCGUUGUCCGGAAUCAUUGGGCGUAAAGCGCGUGUAGGCGGCCCGGUAAGUCCGCUGUGAAAGUCCAGGGCUCAACCCUGGGAUGCCGGUGGAUACUGUCGGGCUCGAGUCCGGAAGAGGAGAGUGGAAUUCCUGGUGUAGCGGUGGAAUGCGCAGAUAUCAGGAGGAACACCGAUGGCGAAGGCAGCUCUCUGGGACGUGACUGACGCUGAGACGCGAAAGCGUGGGGAGCGAACAGG